rnacentral:tmRNA from 1 species
GGGGGUGAUCGGUCUCGACAUGUUUUCUUAAGUGUUGAGCAGCAUGCAGAGGUUGUCAGGCGGCCUCUUAAAAACCUGGCACAAAACUAAAUGCAGACUACAAUCCAGUAGCUGAAGCCGAGGCGAUACUUGCCGACGGCGCACUUGCUCCUCAAUCAGUAGGAGCAGCUUCCUUAGUUGGCGCCCUUGCCAUCUAAAAGAAGUUAACCAAUAAGGGAACUCCGUAAAGGUUAGCCUUCUCCUUUGCGGUUUAAUCAAAAAGGCUGCUUCCUUGGAUAGCCCGAACGGCGGCUGCCCGGGGAAAAAGACAAAGCCGUUCUAAGCAUGUAGAUACUCAGCGUUUGGGUUUCAUGGACCCGGGUUCGAUUCCCGGCACCUCCACCA